rnacentral:rRNA from 1 species
AACGAACGCUGGCGGCAGGCCUAACACAUGCAAGUCGAACGCCCUAGCAAUAGGGAGUGGCAGACGGGUGAGUAACGCGUGGGAAUAUCCCCCUCAGUACGGAAUAGCCCAGGGAAACUUGGAGUAAUACCGUAUACGUCCGUGAGGAGAAAGAUUUAUCGCUGAGGGAUUAGCCCGCGUAGGAUUAGCUAGUUGGUGAGGUAAUGGCUCACCAAGGCGACGAUCCUUAGCUGGUCUGAGAGGACGAUCAGCCACACUGGGACUGAGACACGGCCCAGACUCCUACGGGAGGCAGCAGUGGGGAAUAUUGGACAAUGGGCGCAAGCCUGAUCCAGCCAUGCCGCGUGAGUGACGAAGGCCUUAGGGUUGUAAAGCUCUUUUGGCGGGGACGAUAAUGACGGUACCCGCAGAAUAAGCCCCGGCUAACUUCGUGCCAGCCGCCGCGGUAACAC